rnacentral:tRNA from 1 species
GGGGGCGUAGCUCAAUUGGUUAGAGUGCCCCCCUGUCACGGUGGAAGUUGCGGGUUCGAGCCCCGUCGCUCCCG